UCCGUAGGCGGUGCGGCAAGUCGGAAGUGAAAUCUCUGGGCUUAACUCAGAGGCUGCUCCCGAAACUGCCGUGCUCGAGUGCGAGAGAGGCGAGUGGAAUUGCGGGUGUAGCGGUGAAAUGCGUAGAUAUCCGCAGGAACAUCCGAGGCGAAAGCGGCUCGCUGGAUCGCAACUGACGCUGAGGGACAAAGCUAGGGGAGCAAACAGGAUUAGAUACCCUGGUAGUCCUAGCCCUAAACCAUCAGGACUUGGGGUUUGCCCUGUACGGGGCAAGUCCCGGAGCUAACGCGUUAAGUCCUGCGCCUGGGGAGUACGGUCGCAAGGCUGAA
rnacentral:rRNA from 1 species